GAUGAACGCUGGCGGCGUGCCUAAUACAUGCAAGUAGAACGCUCAAGCGAGGAGCUUGCUCUUCUUGGGUGAGCUGCGAACGGGUGAGUAACGCGUAGGUAACCUGCCUUGUAGCGUGGGAUAACUAUUGGAAACGAUAGCUAAUACCGCAUAAUAUUGUAUGACACAUGUCUUUUAUUUGAAAGGCGCAAUUGCUGUACUACAUGAUGGACUUGUGUGGUAUUGGCUUGUAGGUAAGGUAAUGGCUCACCAAGGCAACGUUGCGUAGCCGACCUGAGAGGGUGAUCGCCCAACUGGGAACGGAGAACCGGCCAGGACUCUACGGGGAGGAGCAAGAGGGGAUCCUCGGGAAAGGGGGGAACGCUGACCGGACAACGCCGCGGGGGGGAAUAAGGGUCUCGGAUCGGAAAGCCCUGUUGUAAGGCAAGAACGAGAGGGGGAGUGGAAAGUUCACGCUGUGACGGUAGCUAACCAGAAAGCGACGGCUAACUACGUG
rnacentral:rRNA from 1 species